rnacentral:rRNA from 1 species
UACAGAGGUCCCAAGCGUUGUUCGGAUUCACUGGGCGUAAAGGGUGCGUAGGUGGCCAGGUAAGUUUGGUGUGAAAGCUCGGAGCUCAACUCCGAAAUGGCAUUGAAUACUAUCUGGCUGGAGGGUCGGAGGGAGACUGGAAUUCUCGGUGUAGCAGUGAAAUGCGUAGAUAUCGAGAGGAACACCAGUGGCGAAGGCGAGUCUCUGGACGACACCUGACACUGAGGCACGAAAGCUAGGGAGCGAAACAGG